UGGGGAAUAUUGCGCAAUGGGGGAAACCCUGACGCAGCAACGCCGCGUGAAUGAAGAAGGCCUUAGGGUUGUAAAGUUCUGUCUUAUGGGAAGAUAAUGACGGUACCAUAGGAGGAAGCCACGGCUAACUACGUGCCAGCAGCCGCGGUAAUACGUAGGUGGCAAGCGUUGUCCGGAUUUACUGGGCGUAAAGGAUGCGUAGGCGGACAUUUAAGUGGGAUGUGAAAUACCCGAGCUCAACUCGGGUGCUGCAUUCCAAACUGGGUGUCUAGAGUGUCGGAGAGGAAAGCGGAAUUCCUAGUGUAGCGGUGAAAUGCGUAGAGAUUAGGAAGAACACCAGUGGCGAAGGCGGCUUUCUGGACGAUAACUGACGCUGAGGCAUGAAAGCGUGGGGAGCAAACA
rnacentral:rRNA from 1 species